AGGUCGUACAUAAUAAAAUCUUCAAAUAUUAAAAUAUUUUUUAUCAGUCAAUAAGUGCAUCAGUGACCAAAUGCCUUUUUCAAACCAUUGCUGUUCAAAGAUGGAUUUGUUUCUCAUUUUAAUAUAAGAACAAUUCCAUAGUGGAGUAUUGUGUGUGAUGAAGUUGUGUUUGUAAAUUAGUUUCCAGUACAACAACACUUGCUGGUAGGGAUGGGUACUGUUCACUUCUAAUUCCAUGUUUUAUGUGUUAUAUAUGUCAAUAUAUUGUGUGUUUGUAUUUUGCCAACAUGGUAGAAUCACACGAUAGGCAGGUUGUAUCAUGUUUUUCUGUCACCUGUCAUGGCACACACACUGUCUGCUGUGGGAACACCAAGAGGCUCCAUUGUGAGCCAAGCAGGACACGCCCCCAUGCUUGUUGCGCAGACCGCGCCGACACAGCAGGUGGCAAUCUACCAACGACACACCUGGGACUAAUGAGAGGCGACAGAAUAAAGAGCUUCGUCGCUGACUGCUUCUCGUGGGAACGUAGUCCUGGUUACACCUUCGUGCCUCAGUCGUUGCCUUGCACUUCUACCCGGAUUCUGAUUGCCUCCCUUGAUUCUCGACCCCACACCCGGAUUUGGACCUCGGACGCUUCUCUCCUGCCCCACGGACCUUGCUUGGAUCACGAACCCUUUGGGAUCUUCCUCUCUGGACUUGGACGCUGCCACAACCAACACACACCUUCAACAAACCCACGGUAAUUCACAUUGUGUUAAAGGGGAACAUUAUCACAAUUUCAAAAGGGUUAAAAACAAUAAAAAUCAGUUCUCAGUG